rnacentral:pre_miRNA from 1 species
UUAGUACUCCCUUCGUCUAACAAAAAAUGUCUUAAAUUUGUCAAAAUUUGGAUGUAUCUAAACAUGACUUAGUAUAUAGAUGCAUUUAAAUUUAGUUAAAAUUGAGACAUCUUUUGUUAGAUGGAGAACUAUCAA